AAAGAGGUUAGCUUUGUCAUCUGGUGCGACCACCAUAUUUCCAAGUGUCUCCUGUAGAGGCCCCAUGUUACUCGGUGUGGCAAAAUGCCA